GUCGGCCGCAACACGUCGACGUCGUCGGUCGUCGGUCGGCGGGUCGGGCUAAAUUCCCACCUGCGUGGGACAAAGUUUUAGGAUCUAGGCGGUGACCUCUCCUCUAACCAAAGUCCUCUCGUAUUUUGUUGUUCUGGUUCUCUCCGGCGCUUACCUUGUCCUUCUUCUUCGUCGUCGUCGCGUUCGCCUUCCCCUAGAGGAGGCGCUGAAACUCGCUUAGGAGGUACUGCUGGGGGAGUAUCUGCUCCAGCCCAAGGACGUAGGGUGCGUCAAGGUGAGUGAUGAGCAUCUGUCGUGGUUGUUUAGGUGUAGGGUUAUGAAGACCACGCGUCUGGUGUUCGAGCGGUAGAGGAGGUUGUAGGAUGGGCUGGAGAUGGCGCGGCGAGCGGCGCGUGUGAGGUUGCGCUGUGAAUUAGGGAGUAGUAGUGGUAGACGUAGGCGACGACGGAACUAGUACUGCGUAUCGUUCCGCGACGAGUAUGAGACGGGACUGAACGAGUGGCGUACCUUGAGGUCCUUCUACCACGACAGGUGAUUAAAAUUAUAGAGUGUGGAGUUCCUACUCGACGCUAACACACGGAACUAGGAGAGGAUAAGCGGUUUCUUACUUUCGUGGACCUCGGUGUCCUCUACCCACUAGUUUUUUGAACGUGUUGUCGAAGUCGUAUAUGGCCUCGAAUAUCUGUUCCUUAGAGAUGAGCAUCUUCUGUAUCGUCUCUUUAGUUUCUACUUGAUGGCGCGAACCUCCGUAGCUACGACCGAAUAAGGAAUGUACUUUUGUCUUGUCCACGAUCUACUCAACUUGUUCAGUUUCUUUACCCGACUCAACGUACAACGACUGUUGACGACGAAAGUGAUGGCGCCCAGGGACGACGAACGUAAUGAUCUACCACGUCGUUUGCCUCUUCUAAGGGAAUAAACGGUCAGUCUUCGAAUAGAUUACACCUUCCUCCUUGACUCCACCUUGCUCUGCGAGUAGUCUGCCAUGGUUCCCUCUCUCAGCAACACCUUGGUAGCGGCCAAGGAGAGUGUCACCACCCAUGUUGUGAACGAGUCGACGCUCCUUUGGUCGGGCAGUUUACUCAGGGUCCGUCUGGAGAAGGAUAGGGUUCUCUAUGUGGAGGACAGUCUGACGGACCGACGAGGACCUCUACUCAAACCGCUUUGGGUGCAAGUCCGCCUCGAACGUCGCGAGAUGUAAGAAACCUAUAGUUUCGUUCUACGCCGCCACUUUCCCUUCCACCUUCUCUCCAACUUCAGCCACCCUUCGGACUUCCUCCACAACCGUUCCCGGACGGGCCUCUUCUCGUCUGACACCUGUGUAAACGAAAUGACGACUCACGACUGGACGUCUACGACGACACAAACACGCAAAAAAAAUGUCAACGACAUAAUAAACAGUCACAAUCUAGCAACUCGAAACGCCGAGACCAAUGAGCACGGAUAUGUAAUCUCUAUUUGAUCGUUAUUAAUUAACCUUGUCUUUGUCGUGAAGUAGAAGUACCAUAGGGUCUAUCCCCAUGAAUUAAACAAGGACAUCACAAGAACGGCAACACAACAAUUAUAUCGAGAUCCUAUAACUACAAGAAUCCCAACGGCGACUCUGUAUGACUUGGAACAAAACAUACGGUACCG
rnacentral:rRNA from 1 species